GACCUCAAAUCAGGUAGGGCUACCCGCUGAACUUAAGCAUAUCAAUAAGCGGAGGAAAAGAAACUAACAAGGAUUCCCCUAGUAACGGCGAGCGAACCGGGAUGAGCUCAAAUUUGAAAUCUGGCGCCCUCCGGACGUCCGAGUUGUAAUCUAUAGAAGCGUUUUCCGUGCCGGACCGUGUCCAAGUCCCUUGGAACAGGGUAUCAAAGAGGGUGACAAUCCCGUACUUGACACGACGACCGGCGCUCUGUGAUACGUUCUCUACGAGUCGAGUUGUUUGGGAAUGCAGCUCAAAACGGGUGGUAAAUUCCAUCUAAAGCUAAAUAUUGGCGAGAGACCGAUAGCGAACAAGUACCGUGAGGGAAAGAUGAAAAGCACUUUGGAAAGAGAGU
rnacentral:rRNA from 1 species